rnacentral:rRNA from 1 species
UAGGGAAUCUUCGGCAAUGGACGAAAGUCUGACCGAGCAACGCCGCGUGAGUGAAGAAGGUUUUCGGAUCGUAAAACUCUGUUGUUAGAGAAGAACAAGGACGUUAGUAACUGAACGUCCCCUGACGGUAUCUAACCAGAAAGCCACGGCUAACUACGUGCCAGCAGCCGCGGUAAUACGUAGGUGGCAAGCGUUGUCCGGAUGUAGUGGGCGUAAAGCGAGCGCAGGCGGUUUCUUAAGUCUGAUGUGAAAGCCCCCGGCUCAACCGGGGAGGGUCAUUGGAUACUGGGAGACUUGAGUGCAGAAGGGGGGAGUGGAAUUCCAUGUGUAGCGGGGAAAAGCGUAGAUAUAUGGAGGAACACCAGUGGCGAAGGCGGCUCUCUGGUCUGUAACUGACGCUGAGGCUAGAAAGCGUGGGGAGCAAACAGG